rnacentral:rRNA from 1 species
AUGCCCUCCACAUAUUGGGCUGAAGCCCUUCGCCAUGCCACUUUUCUUCUUAAUAUUCGUCCCACCAAAACAUGCCCACGUUUUCCCCCCUACGAGUCCCUCUUCCUCACCGCCCCAGCCUACUCUGAUCUUCGUGUAUUUGGCUGUCUCUGCUUUCCUAAUUUGACAGCGACCACGCCUCAUAAACUUGCUCCACGAUCGUUGCCUUGUCUUUUUCUUGGCUACUCCGAUUCACACAAGGGCUAUCGCUGCCUGCACCUCCUCACCGGUCGCGUUUUUAUCUCUCGCCACGUCACGUUUGAUGAAACAAACUUUCCGUACGCCUCUCACCAAACUCCAGAUUUUUCUGCCCCAAUUUCUGGCGCUUCUCCUGCCCCUACGCGCCCACGAACGAUCGACGUGCAUGCGCUGCAUGGCCCUGUUCACCCGGGCCCCGCUGCUGAAUCUGCUCCCACCAAUCACACCGUCCCACCCGCCCGCUCCCAUGCACCUUCCUCGGAUCUGCCGCCUCCCCUCGACGCCCCCAGUGCUGCCUCGCUUUCCCCACCACCGCACUCCCCCACCAUCGUUUUUUGUCCCCAUUCCCCCGGGCCCAUUGCCUCACCAAUCCCAACUCCUUCUCCCGAUCUGCAUGCCUCUCCUUCCGUGCCCGAUUCUUCUCUCUCCCCCUCUUCGCUUUCCUUCCCGUCGCCGCCUCCUUCUUCUAAACUGCCUCGUACUGCUGUACCUGCACCUAUCCCAGCCAAUGACCAUCAGAUGCGUACUCGUGCUAAGGCGGGCUUUCGUCUUCCUGUGGAUCGUCUCAACCUCUCCACCACCACCACACCCAUCUCUCCCAUCCCCAAGUCCUACAAAGCCGCUCUCCUGGACCCAAACUAG